rnacentral:rRNA from 1 species
GACGAACGCUGGCGGCGUGCUUAACACAUGCAAGUCGAGCGGUAAGGCCCUUUCGGGGUACGACGAGCGGCGAACGGGUGAGUAACACGUGGGUGACCUGCCCUCAGCUCUGGGAGUAAGCCUGGGAAACCGGGUCUAAUACCGGAUAUGACUCCAUGGCGCAUGUUGUGGGGUGGAAAGCCUUGUGCGGCUGAGGAUGGGCCCGCGGCCUAUCAGCUUGUUGGUGGGGUGAUGGCCUACCAAGGCGACGACGGGUAGCCGGCCUGAGAGGGCGACCGGCCACACUGGGACUGAGACACGGCCCAGACUCCUACGGGAGGCAGCAGUGGGGAAUCUUGCGCAAUGGGCGAAAGCCUGACGCAGCGACGCCGCGUGAGGGAUGACGGCCU